rnacentral:rRNA from 1 species
GAUGAACGCUAGCGGCAGGCCUAACACAUGCAAGUCGAGGGGUAGAGAUUAGCUUGCUAAUCUUGAGACCGGCGCACGGGUGCGUAACGCGUAUGCAACCUACCUUUUACAAAGGGAUAGCCCGGAGAAAUUCGGAUUAAUACCUUAUAGUAUUGUUGAUAAUCAUUUAUUAACAAUUAAAGUUUCGGCGGUAAAAGAUGGGCAUGCGUCCUAUUAGCUAGAUGGAGUGGUAACGGCACCCCAUGGCAACGAUAGGUAGGGGUCCUGAGAGGGAGAUCCCCCACACUGGUACUGAGACACGGACCAGACUCCUACGGGAGGCAGCAGUGAGGAAUAUUGGACAAUGGACGCAAGUCUGAUCCAGCCAUGCCGCGUGCAGGAAGACGGCCCUAUGGGUUGUAAACUGCUUUUAUACAAGAAGAAUAAGACUUACGUGUAAGUUGAUGACGGUAUUGUAUGAAUAAGCACCGCUAACU